CCUACGGGAGGCAGCAGUGGGGAAUAUUGGGCAAUGGAGGAAACUCUGACCCAGCAACGCCGCGUGAAUGAUGAAGGUCUUCGGAUUGUACAGUUCUUUUCUAAGGGAAGAAGAAAGUGACGGUACCUUAGGAAUAAGCCUCGGCUAACUACGUGCCAGCAGCCGCGGUAAUACGUAGGAGGCGAGCGUUAUCCGGAAUGACUGGGCGUAAGGGGUGCGUAGGUGGUUUGGCAAGUUAGUAGCGUAACUCCAAGGCUCAACCUUGGAACUACUACUAAAACUGUUGGACUUGAGUGCAGGAGGGGCAACCGGAAUUCCUAGUGUAGCGGUGGAAUGCGUAGAUAUUAGGAGGAACACCAGUGGCGAAGGUGGGUUGCUAGACUGUAACUGACACUGAGGCACGAAAGCGUGGGGAGCAAACAGGAUUAGAUACCCCUGUAGUC
rnacentral:rRNA from 1 species